CUUAAUUGAAGAUUAUGCUAGCGUUAGUGUACUUAUAAUCUUAAUUUUAGUAAUGACAGGAGGCGAGUAUUUUGCAUAACUCUCUUUACUAAACUCCAUAGCAGUAAAGAAAGUGAAACAUUUAAACCAAUCAAAAUGCAAAUAGGGAGUAUAUCAUCCCAGCAAAUAGGCUCCUCCUCCUCUUUCGGAAGCGACAUCGGAACAGGGAAGAAGGUAGCGAUAAAGUCUGUAGUAAACAUCAACUGUGGUAUCCAACUGGAAAGAUGAACUUCUCGGCAUGAGUGGGAACCGGCACCAACGGGUGAUGGAAGUCGUCUGAUAGAAGGCGUGGUCUUUGUCAGAAGAACCGUAGUCCAAUGAUUAUGCCGCAGAAGUUGCAGGAUGAAACGAAGUUAAACUGAAAUGAGAAUGUGAGAAGGUUAGGCACCGGUCUGGCAACUGUUUGUGAUAUAGGUAUUGAUCCAUCGGAUAGCAUUGAAACAGUGUAUAUUAUGAAUUCAGAGAAUAGUCUAACAGUAGAUAGAUAGGCUGAUGGUAAUAGAGGAUACAAUAUGCCAACAUGUUGGUUGACUGAAAAAGAAGGAAGAAAAAGGAGACAGUAGUAGCUGUAUGAAUAGAGUAGUUCCCCUCCUCUCCGGGUGGGAAGGGUGGGAAAAUACUCGCCUCCUGUCAUUACUAAAAUUAAGAUUAUAAGUACACUAACGCUAGCAUAAUCUUCAAUUUUAUCACAUGACAGGAGGCUUCCUAUUUUGCAUUUUUGCCGCUGUUGUAUAAGAGACAUGGCUGCACCGGAGUUCGGUCGGAAGUAGAAGGUGCGGAACGUAGAUUCUCUAGACCAAUCCGCGGAGUGUAGGAUAUCCGUUAUGGAGGCACCCGCCAUGAAGGCUGAGGAUGCUGCUGCUCCGCGUACGGAGUGUGCUCCGAAUGUAGUGUCCACGCCGGCUAGCGAUAGUAACCAUCGAACCCAUCUCGCUAGGGUGGUUGUUGUAAUAGGAACAUGUGGUCUAACGUAUGAUACUAAGAGUUGACCUGAGGGCGUAGACCUGAGUGGUAGGGUAGUUUCUACAUACUGAUGUAGAGUGGAGACGACACAGAGUUGUGGAUCCGUGGGGAAGAAUGGAUAAAAUACAGAUGUGGAGUCCGUCUUAGUGCGACGAGAUAUCCUGAAUGUUACUCCUUCUGGGGAGGUAGAAAAAGCGUCUAUGUCCAGCGCUCGAAUGUCUGACACUCUGCGGAAGGAGACCAGGCA